rnacentral:rRNA from 1 species
AUUCCAGCUCCAAGAGCGUAUAUUAAAGUUGUUGCAGUUAAAAAGCUCGUAGUUGGAUUUCUGGUCUAAUGCGCCUGGCCCGCUGCCGUUAGGUAUGUGAGUGCCGGUGCGCGUUUACCAUCCUUCCAGAGAACACUUCUACCAUUUAUUUGGACGGAUGUUGUCUUCUGGAUCUUUUACUUUGAAAAAAUUAGAGUGUUUAAAGCAGGCCUUUGCUGUGAAUACAUUAGCAUGGAAUAAUAAUCUAGGACUUCGGUUCUAUUUUGUUGGUUUCUAGUACUGAAGUAAUGAUUGAUAGGGAUAGUUGGGAGCAUUCGUAUUUAACUGUCAGAGGUGAAAUUCUUGGAUUUGUUAAAGACGGACUACUGCGAAGGCAUUUACCAAGGAUGUUUUCAUUA